GAUGAACGCUGACAGAAUGCUUAACACAUGCAAGUCCACUUGAACUUCGGUUUGGGUGGCGGACGGGUGAGUAACGCGUAAAGAACUUGCCUCACAGUUAGGGACAACAUUUGGAAACGAAUGCUAAUACCUGAUAUUAUGAUUUUAGGGCAUCCUAGAAUUAUGAAAGCUAUAUGCGCUGUGAGAGAGCUUUGCGUCCCAUUAGCUAGUUGGAGAGGUAACGGCUCACCAAGGCGAUGAUGGGUAGCCGGCCUGAGAGGGUGAACGGUCACAAGGGGACUGAGACACGGCCCUUACUCCUACGGGAGGCAGCAGUGGGGAAUAUUGGACAAUGGACCAAGAGUCUGAUCCAGCAAUUCUGUGUGCACGAUGAAGUUUUUCGGAAUGUAAAGUGCUUUCAGUUGGGAAGAAAAAAAUGACGGUACCAACAGAAGAAGUGACGGCUAAAUACGUG
rnacentral:rRNA from 1 species